UACGGAGGGUGCGAGCGUUGUCCGGAAUCACUGGGCGUAAAGGGCGCGUAGGCGGCCUGAUAAGUAGGAGGUGAAAUCCUGCGGCUUAACCGCAGGGCUGCCUUCUAAACUGUCAGGCUAGAGCACAGUAGAGGCAGGUGGAAUUCCCGGUGUAGCGGUGGAAUGCGUAGAGAUCGGGAAGAACAUCAGUGGCGAAGGCGGCCUGCUGGGCUGUUGCUGACGCUGAGACGCGAAAGCGUGGGGAGCGAACAGG
rnacentral:rRNA from 1 species